GUAACGCUAGGUUCAAGAGAUCCACCCUAUCAGAUGCCAUGCACAAUUAUUUAGCUGGCUGCCUCCACCCACUUUCAACCAGAAUUGGUUGGGCUGCUUUCUCUGGAUCACUGAAUGGUUGAGAAAUGAGUUAACACCAAAGACCCUGAGAGAGGUUUUGUACCGUUGCUUGCCAUUCAUCAUGAGUUUCACCAAAACCUACAAGAAGAUUUCUUCAACAUUCCUAAAUUUCCAUGAGAUCAAGGAAGACUGUACCUGUGUCUUCCACACUACUUAGAGUUUUGCUCAUGAUUGCACCUGGAGAGAAGCACUAUUG
ensembl:lncRNA